CCAUAUCCUUUCACCAGUUCACGACUCAAUAUGAUAUUAUUAGUAAUAUUCCUUCCUGGCACAAAGGCAGAUUCUCAACUAUCCACAAGCAAAUUGUCACUUUAUGCAGUCUCUUACUUAGGAUAAUUUUGAAAUGAUUUUAUCCAGUAAGGUACAACAAGAAAUAGGUCUAAAAUCAGUGAUUUUAGCGGAUGAUGUACCAGCUUUGAGACAAGGUUGACAAUGGUGUAGUUUAUGGAUUUGUACCUCGGUGUAGCAGAGUAAAAGAACUCCAACAAGAGAUAUGUUUAAACCCGGGUGAUAAAGGAAGAAAAAAAUAUGCUACAAGCUGAAGAGGAUGAAAGCUAAGCUACUUGAAAUUUUCUCUUACACCUUUGUGUUACUAUAUUGUAAGCCAGAACAGAACUUUUUAUUAAUACACAUAUAUAUACAAACGACAACAACACAACAACAUAACCAGUGAAAUCCCACAAUGUGGGAUCUGAGGAGGGUAAAAUGUA